rnacentral:rRNA from 1 species
GCACCCAACAGCUAGCCCCCUCCCAAAAAGCAACAAACAACAUUAAUACCCCCUAAUGCACAAUGCAUAAUAAACAAACCAUUUUACCUCCUUAGUAUAGGUGAUAGAAAAGGACAAUGGCGCUAUAGAAACAGUACCGCAAGGGAAAGCUGAAAGAGAAAUGAAAAACCCAGUUAAGAAAUAAAAAGCAGAGACUGCCCCUCGUACCUUUUGCAUCAUGACUUAGCUAGCAACCCUCAAGCAAAAUGUUUUUUAGUUUGAGCCCCCGAAACUUAGCGAGCUAUUCCAAGACAGCCUAACAUAGGGCAAACCCGUCUCUGUUGCAAAAGAGUGGGGUGAUCUUUGAGUAGAGGUGACAGACCUACCGAGCUUAGUUAUAGCUGGUUGCCUACAAAAUGAAUAGAAGUUCAGCCUUUGCUCUUUUUCUCUCCAUUUUGCAUACACUAACAGUGACACGAAGAAGACCUAAGAGUUAUUCAAGUGGGGGACAGCCCCCUUGAAAAAAGAAACAACUUUACUGGCAGGUUAAAGAUUAGAAAACAAAAGGAGUACUACUUAGGUGGGCCUGAAAGCAGCCACCCCUGCAGAAAGCGUUAAAGCUCGAGUUGUAAAUUUUCCCUAAUCCCAAAAAUUAAAUCUUAAACCCCCUUGCAUAGUAGGCCUUUCCAUGCAACCAUGGAAGAGACACUGCUAAGAUGAGUAAUAAGGGGACUCGAUCCCCUCCUAAACACUUGUUUACUUCAGAACGAACCUGCACUGAAAAUUAAUGCCCCCAAAACAAAGAGGGAAGUGAGAAAGCCAAAAAUAAUCUAGAAGCUCACUCAAAAUUUAGCAUUGACCCAACACAGGUGUGUACAAGGAAAGACUAAAAGGAAAAGAAGGAACUCGGCAAACACUGGCCUCGCCUGUUUACCAAAAACAUCGCCUCUUGCAAGAAAUGUAUAAGAGGUCCCGCCUGCCCUGUGACUGAUAAGUUUAACGGCCGCGGUAUUUUGACC